GUUCAGAAGGAAAAAUGUGGGUGAUAAUUAAAAUUUGUCUCUCGGCACAGAUAUGUUUUGGAUCACCACACAACUGUUCAUUUGUAGAUUAGACUGUGAAGCACCAUUUUAUUGGAGACAAGUGCACCAUCAGCUGUCAGUGUGGCAGGUGGCAAUCAGCCUGCAAUACUUAGCUGCAGAGAUGGAGAGAAUUUCGCAAGAACAAAUGAACAGGAAGAAAGUAGGACCACUAGCAAAGGGCACCAAAAAAAAAAGAGGACAGCAGGACUUUUUAGAGAAUACAUUAGAAAGAGGCUGGACGUGUGUAGAAUAGAAAAAGCUUUCAGAUCUGCUAUCUUAACCAAAGGACAAUUGUGAGCAGAGUGCUCUACAACAAAGCCAGGCUGCUGCUCAAG